rnacentral:ncRNA from 1 species
ACAGUACAAACUGAACAGGCAAUACGGCUUUCCGGGAGAAAGCGUAUGUGGCCGGGUCGUAAAGCGACAGCAGAAGAAGCAAAAGCGCAUCUGCGGGACGGUG